UUUCGUACUUCGUAUUAACUGGUCACAUGGCGGGAGAGAAAUCACAAGCUUAUGGUCUUUUAGCAUUGGGGUUUCUUACCUUCCUCCCAGGCUUUUAUGAGACUAGGAUUGCAUAUUAUGCAUGGAGAGGGGCCAAUGGAUAUCGCUUUGCAUCCAUUCCCGAUUACUAAGGUGUUCCUAUCUUGAUGGUGUAUGCUUGUCCCAUCUCUCUCAAUGUAAAACUAUCAUAUAAAGUCAGAAAAAAUGGUUUGUACAGAAUCAGGUCUCUUGAG
rnacentral:misc_RNA from 1 species